rnacentral:tRNA from 1 species
GGAGAUGUGCCUGAGCGGUCGAAAGGAGCGGUCUUGAAAACCGUCGAGGGAAACCUCCUAGGGUUCGAAUCCCUACAUCUCCG